AUUGAACGCUGGCGGCAUGCUUUACACAUGCAAGUCGAACGGCAGCGGGGGCUUCGGCCUGCCGGCGAGUGGCGAACGGGUGAGUAAUGCAUCGGAACGUGCCCAGUCGUGGGGGAUAACACAUCGAAAGAUGUGCUAAUACCGCAUACGUCCUGAGGGAGAAAGCGGGGGAUCUUCGGACCUCGCGCGAUUGGAGCGGCCGAUGUCGGAUUAGCUAGUUGGUGGGGUAAAGGCCCACCAAGGCGACGAUCCGUAGCGGGUCUGAGAGGAUGAUCCGCCACACUGGGACUGAGACACGGCCCAGACUCCUACGGGAGGCAGCAGUGGGGAAUUUUGGACAAUGGGGGCAACCCUGAUCCAGCCAUGCCGCGUGAGUGAAGAAGGCCU
rnacentral:rRNA from 1 species